UUUUCUGACUCAGUUCUUGAGGGCUGCCUUCCUCAAGAAGGCUGAGAUCAUUGUCUGGAGUCCAACUGUCCCUGUGGCAGUGCGGCAGCGCUUGGUAGAUGGAGUCUUUUUUCCCCCCUCGGCUGGAGUAGGUGUGGGGCCUGAAGCGACCUCCCUCACCAGGCUGGCUGCUCUCAUGAGAGAAGUGAGGGAGGCCUGAGUGCAGCCACAGCCUCAGCGGCCUCUUCAAACCCCUCAGGAGCGCAGGGAUCUGCACUGAAGAAGGCCAAACAGGAGGGAACAUGAGAAUGCAUCACUUCCAGAGGAUGCAAUUGGACUAGGGCUGACCCUGGGAAAUUAGAUCCAUCACUGUAACUUAGAAAAGGUGCUGAAGACUAACCCAAAGAACAUGCUUUUCUCAGAGAGGAGGGGAAGAAACACCAAGGAGAACUGAUUGUCUUUCACACCCUAAAGCAGAUUUUUGGAGCCCUUGAUCCCAAUUCAAAUGUACUUGUAUAAAUUUGCUGUUUCCCAGUAACAGUCAAACAUGUAUUUUAUAAUACAAAACCUUAUCAGUGCAAGAGAUUCCUUCUCAAACUACUCUUCCACUUAAGCAACCUGCAGUUAGCUUUAAUAUCAGAAAGUUUUCAAUCUUAAUAGUGAGGAUAAAAACUGGACCACAUUUCUCCCCCUGCAAUUUCUGAUACCUUAGUUUGUUAAAGAAUAUAAUUUGUUUUAAUGUGCAAAUAAGGCAGCUUUUUAUUUAGAAGCUAAUUAUAGCAGAAAUCUGUAACACAAGGUUGUGUUUUGUGGCUGUUAAAUUGUUUCCUAAGCAUAAUUGUUAAACCUAGAUCAACAGACCACAUGUUUAUGUAA